GGUCCCCUGGUGCCCGCGUGCCCCUGGUCUGCUGGUCUCCCGUCCACGAGCCGCGGCGCCGGCAGAGACCCCCGCCCGGGGUCCCCCAGCCCCGGCGGCUUUGGAGGAUGGAACGUGGUGAGAACCCCAGCUUUUUCCCCGCCGUCGACCGCUGCCUGGAAAUUGGAUUUUCUAUUCCCCUCAAUAGAUCGUUGUAUCGUAAGGAUGUGGCCGUUGUAAGAGUUUCCUCUUUAAAGCCGUUUGUAAAUGCCGUGAGGACGGGGACCCAAUCUUGUUUUGUUUCCUGACUUAGAAUGUUGGACGCUGUACCUUGAAUAUAGUAGAAUAAUUGUUGACAGUAACGUUCUCAUCAAGGAAAUUGAUGAAGGCGUUUCACCUGCUCUGAAGAUAAAUGAGGAAGUUGAAAUGUAAGAAGCUAUGACUAACAACCCAAAACCGAGGUAGAAAAUCGAAAUAAUCAAUACUGGAGAGUGUAGGCUCCUUCCGUAGGUCUUUGCCCAGCUAAUACCCUGGACUACCAUCUCGUGCAGUUUGCAGACAUACCCCACACCCAAUUUAACUAUCACUAAUCAAAACUCACCACCUAAUAAUGUUUCCUCUAUACUAGGAUGUCAGGUAUUGUUCUAGCUCAGUUAUUUGAGCGAAAGAGUAAUUUGAACCAUGCCCCUUUCCCUUUAUUACGUUUUAGUUUUAAAAUUAUCUUUUCAUCAUUGAUUCCUACUUAGGUAUACACGGAGGUAUUUUUUCUUCUUUUUGGGCAAUUGUAAAUAGUAUUGUAUUUUUAAUUUUGGUUUUCACGUGUUCCUUGCUAGUUCCUUGACCUAUAGGUCAUUUUUAAACAUGUUUCAGCUCCCAAGUUAGUCAUGCAGCCAUUGCUUGUUGAUUUACCCAAAUAUUUUCACUCUGCCCAUUCUUUGCAUCUCUCCUUUCCUCUAAUUAAUUUUUUUUUCUGAAAGAACAUGGUUCUUUCACUGUUCUUUUUUCUCAUAAACUUUCUAUAUCAAAGUGGUUUUCUUUUGCCCUCACUGUAAAAUGAGUUCACCUCUAAGUUUAUCAGUUAUCCUUUCUCUUCCACUUUUACGUUAUUCCAUUAUCUUCUGACCUCUGGUGGUGGUCUUGUUAAGUGUGAUAUGCGACUCUUCAAGUAGGCUCUCUGGUUGCUGUUAAGAUCUUUUUCUUAAAAAAAAAAAAAAAUCUUUUUCUAUGGUAUUCAGUUUUGCUUCUCACCGUGAAAUGUCUCUUUAGAGACUUUGGGUUUUGUUUUUUUUUUAAUUAAUUUAUUUUUUUGGCUCCGCUGGGUCUUGGUUGUGGCACACAGGCAGGCCGCGUGUCAUGUGGGAUUUCAGCUCCCUGCCCAGGGAUGGAACCCACAUCCCCUGCAUUGAAAGGCAGAUUCUUAACCACUGGAUCACAAGGGAAGCCCCUAGAGCCUUAGUUUUAUUUCUUCUGUUUGUAACUCAUGUUGCUUCCUGACUCUGAGAUUUCUUACCUUUCCUGAAGUCUGGAAAAAUGUCAAGUCAUUUUAUCUUCAAGUAUUGCUUCUCUGCCAUUCUGUGUUCUGCAACUUCCCGUGAAACUUUAGGUUGGACCUCUUCAUUUUCCUUUUCCAGUCUCUCACCCUUCCUUUUGCUCCCUCGAAUUUCUUCUAAUGAGUUUCUUUCAUACAUAGUUUUAUGCAUACAAGUCUUCUGUGUUUAAUAUACAAUUUAACUCAUCUGAGUAUUUUUUGUAGGUCAUAUAUUACAAUUCAAACUCAAGAACAAGGUGUGUGGGGUUUCAGUUUGGGAAGCUGAUUAAAGUUCUGGAGGCAUACGGUGGUGACGGUUGCACACGCUACUGAACUGUAUACUUUGAAAGUGAUUAAAAUGGAGUCAGAUUUUUCUCUGGUUCACCCUGUGACAGAGUGGAGCCCCUGAAAGUAUGCCUGUUUCUUCAUGGUGAGUUAUUUCUGAGCCCCCAAAUUAGGUGUGGCUUGUGUGGGGUUUAGGUUCCUUUUUGGUUCUUCCUGAGCAUUGGAGGAUGCAAUUUAUUUAGGGCAAGCUGAAUUUUACCCGAAUCUAUUAGGCAUUACUAGGUGUUCUGAAUAUGAAACAAGUUUUUUUUUUUUUUUUUAAUGUUUAGAAGCAUUUAAAUUACCUCCCGGGGCACAGGGCAUGAGUCCCCCGGCAGGGGACUACAGGGUAAGGAAAACAGGUCAUUUUGAACCCUGGCUUCUACACACAUCAGCUCUGGGACCACGGGCAAACACUUCAUCUCUCCAAAUGUAUUUCCUCUUCUGGAAAAUGAAGAUAAAGUUGAUGUGAGGACUAUAUGAACAAAAGAUAUAAAAUGCCUAGUACAGUGCCUGCCUGGAAUGGAUUAAGUACUUAAGUUUUAGUAAAACACUGUUGUUACCUGUAGAUAGACAUAAAACCCCAUGCUUGGACCACAUCUAUUUUUGAGCCAUGAGUUUCAAAAGGAUGGUGAAAUCAAAGGUGAUCACAUGAAAUAAGCCACUGCUGUGGAGGAUAAUUCUAAGAAAGAGCUAAAGCUUGAGACAAGAUUUCAGCACAGAACUCUCAUAAGUAGGAAGGUCACCCUCAAAUGGAACAAGCAGCCUCACAAAAAGGUGAGCUGGUCACUUGAUUCAAAAUCAAAAGCCGAAGGACUGUUUAAAAGACAGACAGGAUUCCUUUACAGGGAAAAGAAAGAAAUCAGCAGUGAAGUAAAAGGAGAAAAAACCCACUUGGAUAACUGAUUUAUGACACUAAUUUAAAAAUCCCCUGAAACUAUUUGAAAGGAGAAGACAGAAGGAGACACCACAGAAAACUUCAAUAGGCCGGGAACCCUGAAGAUCAAAUGAGAUUUUUUUAGCUCAUUAGCACUGGCUCCCACUUGGUUCCACUCCAUUAAUCUGCUGUCUCUACCUGUAUUCCUGUGACUGGAUCAUCGUCUUCCUCCUUUUCUGUACAGCCAUUCCAAGGCAAACUCAAAAGUCAAAGAUAUUCCAAAGAGCCAGUCACAGCAAAGUCAGAAUUCAAUUUUAUUUCACAUUGAUAGAAACCGUGAAAAAGAUUUACAUUUUCCCAUAUUACAGCCCAGCAUUUCAACGGAAUAUUUCUUGCCAUAAGUUAGAUCUUGCUGAUUUGUGUCAGUGAAACAACAGUUUAUAUUCUUCAAGGUAAAGCAAGAUGACUUAGUAAAUGAUUGUUUAAAAACUGUGAAUCCAGACAUAAACAUAUGGCUUCAUUAUUCACAUGCUCUAUAUAGUCCAUACCAAGCCAUUU